rnacentral:rRNA from 1 species
UACGAAGGGGGCUAGCGUUGCUCGGAAUUACUGGGCGUAAAGCGCACGUAGGCGGCUUCUUAAGUCGGUGGUGAAAUCCUGGAGCUCAACCCCAGAACUGCCUUCGAUACUGGGAAGCUCGAGUCCGGGAGAGGUGAGUGGAACUGCGAGUGUAGAGGUGAAAUUCGUAGAUAUUCGCAAGAACACCAGUUGCGAAGGCGGCUCACUGGCCCGGUACCUACGCUGAGGUGCGAAAGCGUGGGGAGCAAACAGG